CUCACUUUCCCCUGUGUGGGAAACUUCCUUGGAGGCAGCUCUUAUUAAUAACAACUAUCUGUCUCUCCUGGAGGGUUGCUGGGAAGCUGGCCUUCUGCUGUGAGCUUCCUAUUUACAUCCUGGUAUGACUGUGAUACGAACCCAGAAGGAAGAGACCCUUACUGCCGCCAUGUGACUAGAAAAGGGAGUCAAGGCCAAAGAUGCACCCCAAGUGCCCCCGAUCUGCCUUCUAAGGCCUUUAUCCUUAUCUUCUGGGACACAGAGUAGGUGUGGCACGUGGGUGGGGCGUUACGGCAUUCAUUUGUCAGGGAUGAUAACUUGCAGGGGCCAUGUCUAGAUGCUUCUGGAAAGGGGAAAGCGAAUAUACUGGCACCCUGGCCCUUCAGCAGGGCCCGCCUGACUCACUGACCGCACUGGACAGAUGACUCAUUCGCCAGCCUUGACCUCAAUGGGUUUGGCCACCCAUGGAGAGUGAAGUCACACCUCCAGUGCCCUGAAGCAUUCUUCUCAGCCAACUCCAAGGCAGUAAUAUCUUCAUGAUCUGAAGCUCUGUAGGCCAAAGGGCAAAAGGAAGGAAUGUUUCUAACUUGGAGGUAAAAACUACAAAAGUUUCUCAGGCAAAGAGUCUGCGAAUGAAGAAAGUUUAAAAAGCCCUUUGAUAGAGCGAGGCUGGAAGCUGGUGCUGGAGGAGACCCAUGCCAGCUUCUAUCCAAACGUUCCUGCCCUGGAUUGUAAAAAACUGCUGUGGCUUCUCGAGAAUCACCAUCCUCAGGAGAGAGACAAUUGAGCACCUGCUACCCACCAGAGACAGACAUCUGUGUCACCGAAUGCCACCGCCUCCCAGCCGUUACCAGACUGUUCCAUUGACCCUUGGUGGCCACCUGGUGUGAUGACCUCACUCUCCCGAUCAGUGGUUGAUGUGACCCAGGACACAGUCCCUGACGCUAAGUAGGGAUCCAAGUUACUAAGCCUGGUGAGGGACCUGGUCUUCAUCAGCAGGCUCCGAGGCCCAUUUUACAUGACAGCACUGGGUCCCGGCUGAGACAAAGAAGCUGGCUCAUUUAACUGUGUAAGGCAGCUAUGAGAAGCAGAAGGGGGAAAGGGGCAUCUUGGGGCUCAGCAUUCCUGAGGCCAGAUGUGCAAGCCUCCUGAGACCAGCUUGGCCCCAGUUGGGCUACACUCACUGCCUCAGACACUGCUGUCCCCUGUCCCUCCUCCCUCCUUCCUCAGCAUCAAAAAGACUCAGGGGUGCUGGCAGCUGUUCUCCAGCAUCUGGUGGAACAUUCUGCCCUAAAGCUGGGCUUUCCUCCCUCCCCAAGGAGAGCUGGUGACUCAUGUUUCCAUUUUCGAUGCAGAGCCAGGCACUGGAUCUUUCCAUGACCCCAACCAAGGACUGGCGGUGUAGUGCUGGAACAUGAAUUAUGAUGUCAGACCUAUCUGAGUUCAAAUCCCCUCCUUGAUGUCUGUUAGCAAUCUGUGUGAUUUUAAGCAGCCUGUUUACUCUGAUUCCCAUUUGCACAUGAAGACCACAACUGUCAAUCACGGUAUCAUUUUGUUUUAGACAAGGUCUCCACUAUGUAGCCUGAGUAAGCUUCCAGUUCUCUCUGUGUGUAUGGUGUGUGCCUGUACACAGGUAUAUGGGAGAGGGGCAUGUACCAUGAGCACACAUGUGAAGGCCAGAGGACAGCCAAUGUCUCUAUCAAUCUCUGACUUAACCCCUUGAGACACCGUCUGUCAUCAACACUGUCACCAUACUUGGACUAGGUUAGUUGGCUUGUCAACAAGCACCAUCAAUCCUUUGUCACCACGAGUCCCCUCCCCCACUGGGGUUAUACGUGCAUUGUACAAAUGCCUACAAAAGCCCCUGGGGCUUUUAUGUAGGUACUGGGAUCUGAACUCAGGUGCAUACUUGUGCACCCACUUGUCCGUCCAUCUCUCCAGCAGUUUCCAGUGCAAUCCUCCUGCCUCAGCCUCCCUGGCGCUGAGUUCAUAGGCGUGUGCACUGCACCAACCUCUCCUCUAUCGCAACUCUGAGAAUGAGCUGUUUCUUCCAACAGUUUUCUCUUUUGACGACUUCUCAUAAUUCAAGCAAAGAGGAAGUUGAGAGUUUCAUGGCCGCCAUGAACGUUCCCUACCCUGUCACAGAGAGUCAGCUUGGUGGUAUUUUUACCCAUGUGAGCUUUUCAGCAGGUUUAAAGAGGCGGGGCUGAGCUGUGAUGCUCCACAGGUCAAGGGUUAUCAAGUGCAUUUUGACUUAAUAUUUUCUAUUACAUUGUAAAUAGAAUACCCAUGUACCAUUUACUACUGCUACAGUGCUAUUGUGAGCACAACUUGUUCUAAACAUAGGAAACCAAGGCCCAGGCAAGUAAAGUAACUUCUCUGAAGUCACACAGCCAGGAAGUGGCAGAGCUGGGUCAUGGCUGGUCUGUCUGACCUCACAGGCCAACACUAUUCUGAUGCUUAGGACAAUGAGAAAGAUGGAGGAGUGAAGUUGGUCCUGAUGCUGGCCUGGAGUGGAUGCUGUGUUGGAGUUUGCUGCUGUUAUUGCUGCUGUCUUCUCAGUUGUUUCUUGUUAUCAUGCUAGGUCUCCACUUUGCCCAUGAUAAGGAGCCAGUGAGGACACAUGUCCUUCAGGCCAAAGCCACAACAGUUGAGAGAUCUGGGCAGGAGAGUCAAGUGGUUUACCCUAACUGCAUUGCUCUCUACCUGCUGAAUGAAUGCUAUUUUCUGAGGCCUGGGGGUACUGACUUUCCAUCUCUGGGCCUUAAUUACAUGUCUACCAGGAGGAGUGCUCAGACUCAGCCCUAAGGUGGAAACAGGCAGGGAGGGGCUGGGAAGAUCAAGGCCUGGGAAACAUUAUCACCCUGACUGACUGCUCUUUUCAAAAGCAAAGAGCCUGCUCUGGGCCCUAGCCCCAGAAGCCAAUAACUGCUACAGCAGAAGCACACGUGAGACCAAGCCAGACUGGAAGGUUCCAGGGGCACCAUGUAGAGUUAUCGGGAAUUACAAACAGCGUGCAGACAAAGCAAUAUGGACAGGUGCAAGAUACUAAAGCUGGCUGGGGCGGCUCACACCAGGAAUCCUAGCAACCGGGAGGCUGAAGCAGAAGUGUCAUUGAAAACAUGAGGCCAGCCUGGGCUACAGAGUGACUCUGUCAACAAAACAAAACAAAACAAAACAAAACAAAACAAAACAAAGCACUCAGAAAAGCAGAAGUCAGAGCUAAGGCACUAAAGAGAGCUGUGACCACAGCAGUGUCCCCACAUGCAACCCACAGCUGGCUUCCUGUCACUCUGCUCCAGACCUUUUCACCUCACCUAGCUCUGCAGUCCCUCCUGCUCCAACACUUGCCCUUGCCCUGCUCUUGUGGAUGAGCUAGCCUCGCCCAUGUUCAGACCACUGUGCUCUUCCCAGCCUGUUUUCCCAGAGACUCUGACCUUCCUGUCCUCAGGGAGCUCAGAAGCCUGCCUCGCAGAAGAGGGAGAGGGAGAGCAGUGCUCACAUUCGCCAAGGUGUCCCUAUGGGCACACAUUAAAUGUUUAGAGAGCCCUUUGUGUGAAGGCUCUGCCACUUGGGCCCAGAAAGAUGUCAUAAGGGGUCCUGCUCUUCUGGAGCAGUGAGGAAUUUCUGAGUUGAUUCUGAGAAUUCCCUUGCUGGGCUUGGGUCCUCCAGGCCACGCCAGGGACCACUCCACCCAGUGUGCAAUGGAUGUGGCUGUUGCCGAGCACUUCAGAGAGUGGGAGACAAAGCUUCAAGCAACUGUAGAGAAAGGAGAGAAAGGCCCCCAGCCAGGAGUCAGUGUCUGUAGGAUUGAAUCUACUUCCAGAUACAGUGCAGGAGUUGAUGGCAUGGGAGUUACAGUCUAUGGGGUCUCAGCUGAUGCCACAACCCACCUAGUGGCCGUAGGGUCUGCAAAUAGCCACCUUCCAGGUUCUGGUGUUGGAACCUGGGGGCCAGGCUCAACUUCUGAUCCCGACCUCUACUUCUGUGUGACAUUGGCUAGGCUCAGUGUGACAGUCUGUAAAGUGGACAUAAUACUGUCUUCCUAGAGUUCUGGUGUGAACAAACCGAAAUGACUCCAGGGCUGCAUGGCCAUCUGUAUCCUUCAGUCUGUGGUGACAACAGAAUAAACGUUAGGGGGAUGGAGGCGGGUCCCAGGGUGCUGUCGCUGUGGAUGACCCAGAGGGAAGCUGGUGAGGGAAGCUGGCGAUGGGGCUCAGCCUUGAAGGAGAUUGAGUUGCUAUACAAGGAAAUGCAAAAAACGUGAAUCAGUUCAAAAGUAAAAAAAAAAAAGUGAAUGAUUCAGAAGGCAUUCCAGAAUAACAAAUAGAGAUUCCAAGCCAAGUGACUCGGUUCCUCAAAAAGAGGACACAGCUCGGUGAAGCUAGAGCCUUAGUCAGGCGGGGGAGGUGGUUACUGGGAAACUUCACCCUGUUCAGCAUUAUUGAGAAGUUGUGGGUUCCUGGAGCCUUAGUGAUGUUACACAGCCUUGCAGGGUGAAGAUUACCCAAACCCUGGGCCAGAGAGUUGAAAAGGAAGUGUUUAGGGCAGGAUCUAUAUUAGAAGAAACAAACAGAAAAAAAAUGCUCCUUAGAAGACAGAGUGGCCACAAGGGAAAGUGGUCAGAUGUGUUGGAGCAUAUGGGGCAGCCGCGCGGGCCAGCCAACAUCUGCCCCAGGGAGGGAGGACUUGGCACAUCUGGGAAGCAGUGAUGGGUUACUCCCAAGGUCUGGAUCUGAUGCAGUCUUUCUGUCCAUUUUGGAAAAAUUCCUCCCAUUUUUUUCCCCACAUGGUGCAGACAUUCCCGUAGAGCAAGGGAGAGGGAGGCUGUACCCAAACUCUGCCACCUGCUUGCUGUGUGACCACCUGCUUCUCUGUGCCUUUGUCUAUCAUCAACAAAUGGUCACCAUGGUAUCUACUUUGUCAUUAUUGCAGUCGAUGUUAGUCCCAGUGCCUGGUCCCUCUGACGACUUCCUGUUGACCAUUAUUAUAGACUUUAGAAUCAAGUAAUUGAAUGCCCCAUUUGGUGCCCUCCCAGUAGAUAUUACAUCACAACAUCUCCACUUAUGUAUAACACUGUGACAAGCCAGUGUUCUUAGAAAAGACAGAAAAAGCCACAAACACACAAAAUCUCAAAAUACGGGACGAGGGAAGUCCCCCUCUACAAUGACUCUUCUGUAUACCAUGUAUGAAUGUGACCCCUACUACCACCUUACCAAGAUCUGGACUUAGCCAGAUAAGCUAUCUGGGGCUUUUCGGGGAACCAGGACUCUGAGAGGUGCCACCACCCAAGAACAGCUCUGGUUCAUUGUUUCAGGCAAGCUGGGGAGGCCUGGAAACUAGAGGUGGGUUUGAGGGAAGGACAUAUGAAGUUGAGGAAGUAGAUGUGAGGCUGGGGAGUGGCUGCUGCCUCUCUGAGGGACUGAAAUGCAAUCUUUCUGCCCAAGGCAUCAAGUCAUAGCUCAGUCUGGCCCUCUUGUUAUCUUUGACAGGCAAUUCCUCGAUUAUCCAUGAAUUUUCUCCUCUUUCCCCAGCUGUGAACAGACUUCCAGAAAGAAGGCAAGUUCAAGAGAGAAUUUGACUCUUUCUAGGCAAGAAGAGCCUUUGGACACGUUAUAGUGUAGGUGGGUCUCGAUCCCUUCCGUCUCAGAAGCUUCUUCUCCUGUCCAUCGUGCGGUGUGUGAGAUCUGUCAUGCUCCCUCUGGCCGAGGAAGAAGCAGCCAUCUGAGGGCAGGUAAUGGGCAACCAGAGUGAACAUAACCACACAGACGUGACAAGAACACAGGUGGCCACACUUCUGGCUGAGUCUGCCUGUCAGCAGAAACUACCCAGGGCUGGGGCUGUCCGGCCUGAGACGUGACAGAACAAACAGAUGUUGGGAGAGCUGGACAGAGGGGUGCAAGCAAAGAGGCCAUCAGAAUCACCAGAGCAAUGAAACAACCAAUUCACAAAAGCCCCCCACGCUGGAUUAAAGAAUUCACUUUGUUUAGUAGCUAAUUGCCAAACCCUAUGUUGGUCCCGGGAACUGCUAGACAUUGGUGACAUUAUGUGGAGUAGGAAAGCCAAGCUCCUUUCCUCAAUGGCAUCUGAAUCCUGGUAGGGAGAGUUGGAGCCAGGUGAUACCUGCUCUGAGAAAUAGAUUUUCUGUUUUAGUGUCCUGUUGGUAGACUAAAAUCUACCAAUUGUACCAUGGAGAUUGGCAAAUGCUAUCAAGCACCCUACCAUUAUCUUGCAUCCAGAGACUGGUCAUUAAUUACUUAUGAGCUUCUUAUUUGUAAGUUUCUUCAUGACCGUGUGAAGACAAAACCAUGGUGACCUAGCAUACUAUAUGGCAAGACACUGAGGUAGACUUUAUGGUGACGCUCUGGGCUUUUCAAGUCUUCUGGAAACUUUUUUAAACACCCUUGGCGUUUUCUUAAUCUUCCUUCCUUCCCAUACAGGUCUCCACCCUCCAUUCUGUGGCCACAGCUAAGAGUCUGAACAUUUGACCUCAAAUCAGUGGGCUAGGCUACUGUCCCCCCACCCCCAGGCCUUCCUCGGGCUCAGAGAAGAGGAACAAGAACACUUUUACAGAAUUGCCAGGAUCUGGAUCAGAGCCUCGAUCCAGCCCUCAGACUGGCAUUAUUUGAAUAGAACAGAGCCUUUCAGAGGUAGGGCAUUCUGAGAGGUCCUCUGCUGUCCGUGGGAGGGGGCUGUGCUCCUGAAGGUGAUGCUGGGGCCUCAGCCAUUUUCUUUCCUCCUUUGGUUUCCUACUACUGUGAGGUGGACAGCUGUGCCCCCAUCAUGCACCUCUGCCAUGAUAUGCUGUGUCACUAUCAUGUGUGGACUAGGAUCUCAGCAAGCCUUUCCUUGUUAGCAAGGUCUUAUACACUCCACAUAUGCUGUCACCCUCAUGGGCUUCCAGGCCACACUCUGAACAAUUGAAACAGAGACGAGAGACUGUAAGUCUAAUCCCUUGGGCAGAUGGGGGAUUCACACAACAAAGAUGCUGCCAGAAUUAUUUCUUGCGUACAUUGGUGUUGCUCCUUUUUGAACAGUUGUUACCCAGGUUCCUCUUGCCCACCUGGCAGGAUUACAACUUUUCUUAUAAGUGGACAGGGGAUUUAAUGACAGACCAGGACUUACUGGUGAUUGGAACCUGGUAAUGUCCCCUUGACCUGCCCCUUAGAGACAUAUUCUUUGAUAUAGGGAUGGGGCUAAUGACUGACUAUCUAAGUCUUCAUUGUCCCUUUUGUCAUGGGAACUGAGACCAACUGGAGGUCCAUCUCGGUGAAGAACACAUCAGCACAGACUCUCAGCAACCCUACAUUACGUUACACAAGUUUCUUUCUGACAGAUUCCAACAAGCCUGGUGAGUGCACACUGCUGCCUUCCAGUCAUGUUGGAGGCAGCGCUCUUUUAGCUAAAUUCUGGUUGGGUAACAUUAUUUCUUAAGCAAAUUAGUAAAUCCUUUAGAGCGUCAAUUUUACUACUUCAGGUUUCUCCUGUGCCAGUACAAAGGCUUUAAGAUACACUGUUUCCAGCACUUACUUCCUGGUUGUACUCACUUCCUCAAUCCGAGCUAAAAAGCUACGUCAUCCCGUCAUCCACUCAGCUUAUGUCACCACUUGCCCCACCCUGCCCCUCCCGUCCACAUCACCAACUCCUAAUCCGAGCAGUUCAGCUUUAGGUGAAAAGAGCCACACUUUCUCUCCCUCAGGCUGCUUCUUUGACCUUUGCCCUUUCCCUGUCCUAUUUCAUACCCUCUGGUUCACUUCCACGAACUGGAAUCAGUGGGUCUGUGCUCCCCCUACACCCCCCGCACCACCCCUGGGGCCAUUUGAAUGUUAAGCUAAGUCAGGUUUUAUACUUUGGUGACAGAAGCAAGGAGGUGAGAUUAUCCAGUGAUUCCCGGGAGCCAGAGGCUUGAAUUCAGAUCCAGCUCUGUACUUCCUGGCUGAGGUAUUGCUGAUACGAGUCAUUUUACUUCCCCGAGCCUCGGGGUCCUUACCGUCAAAAGCGUGGUUCUCGCUCAGCAAUUCUGUGCUGUAAAUUGCUGACGUGUAUAACCCACGGAGUGGGAGCCAAGGCCUGAUAUAGUAAUUAGCCAAGCCAGUUCAUGCGGAACCUAGAGAAGCAAAGCCUCGACUUUAGGCUUCACCCUUCAGGCACCGGGAAGUCAAAGAAGGCUUUUUACCUCAGCAUCAUCAGAUGGUAGAAUUGAGGUGGAAGAGUUGCUCAAGAGACAAGCUGGGCUGGCCGCAGCAGCCAUCUUCCAGUAACUCACCAAAAUGACGAACACAAAGGGAAAGAGGAGAGACACUCAGUGUAUGUUCUCUAGGCCUUUUAGGAAACAUGGAGUUGUUCCUUUGGUCACAUACAUGCGACUCUACAAGAAGGGUGAUAUUGUAGACAUCAAGGGAAUGGACACCAUUCAAAAAGGAAUGCCCCAUGAGUGUUACCAUGGCAAAACCGGAAGAGUCUACAAUGUCACCCAGCAUGCAGUGGGCAUCAUGGUGAACAAGCAUGUCAAGGAAGGGCAAGAUGCUGGCCAAGAGGACCAAUGUGGGGACUGAGCACAUCAAGCACUCGAAGAGCAGAGACAGCUUCCUGAAGUGGGUAAAGGAGAAUGGUCAGAAGAAAAAGGAAGCCAAAGAGAAGGGUACCUGGGUUCUGCUGAAGCGCCAGCCUGCGCUGCCCAGAGGAGCCCCCUUUGUGAGGACUAACGGAAAGGAGCCAGAGCUGCUGAGGCCCAUGCCAUACGGAUUCACGGCUAAUGGACAAAAAGAAAUAAAGGACCCGACUGAAAAAGGAAGAGACAGAGACAGAGAGAGAGAG
rnacentral:sRNA from 1 species